GCAAUUAAGUUGGGCACUUAGUGAGACUGCCGGUGACAAACCGGAGGAAGGUGGGGACGACGUCAAAUCAUCAUGCCCCUUAUGACCUGGGCUACACACGUGCUACAAUGGAUGGUACAACGAGUCGCGAGACCGCGAGGUUAAGCUAAUCUCUUAAAACCAUUCUCAGUUCGGACUGUAGGCUGCAACUCGCCUACACGAAGUCGGAAUCGCUAGUAAUCGCGGAUCAGCAUGCCGCGGUGAAUACGUUCCCGGGCCUUGUACACACCGCCCGUCACACCAUGAGAGUUUGUAACACCCAAAGCGCGGUGGGGUUAACCUUUAGGAGCUAGCCGUCUAAAGGUUGGAACAA
rnacentral:rRNA from 1 species